GAAGGGNNCAAACGUUGCUCGGAAUCAUUGGGCGUAAAGCGCACGUAGGCGGCCCUGUAAGUCGGAUGUGAAAUCCCUCGGCUCAACCGAGGACGUGCAUCCGAAACUGCAGAGCUCGAGUAUGGAAGAGGGUCGCGGAAUUCCCGGUGUAGAGGUGAAAUUCGUAGAUAUCGGGAGGAACACCAGUGGCGAAGGCGGCGACCUGGGCCAAUACUGACGCUGAGGUGCGAAAGCGUGGGGAGCAAACAGGAUUANAUACCCUGGUAGUCCACGCCGUAAACGAUGAGUGCUAGGUGCUGCGGGUAUUGACCCCUGCGGUGCCGUAGCUAACGCGUUAAGCACUCCGCCUGGGGAGUACGGCCGCAAGGCUA
rnacentral:rRNA from 1 species